GAUGAACGCUGGCGGCGUGCUUAAUACAUGCAAGUCGAGCGAACAGACGAGGAGCUUGCUCCUCUGACGUUAGCGGCGGACGGGUGAGUAACACGUGGAUAACCUACCUAUAAGACUGGGACAACUUCGGGAAACCGGAGCUAAUACCGGAUAAUAUAUUGAACCGCAGGGUUCAAUAGUGAAAGACGGUUUUGUUGUUACUUAUAGAUGGAUCCGCGCCGCAUUAGCUGAUUGGUAAGGUAACGGCUUACCAAGGCGACGAUGCGUAGCCGACCUGAGAGGUGGGUCGGCCACGCUGGAACUGAGACACGGUCCAGACUCCUACGGGAGGCAGCAGUAGGGAAUCUUCCGCGAUGGGCGAAAGCCAGACGGAGCAACGGCGCGGGAGUGAUGAAAGUCUUCGGAUCGUAAAACUGUGUUAUUAGGGAAGGACAAAUGUGUAAGUAGCUGUGCACGUCUUGACGGUACCUGAUCAGAAAGCCACGGCUAACUACGUG
rnacentral:rRNA from 1 species